GGUCUUGGAUGUUUUCUGGAGGAACUGGGGAGCGUGGGCGCGUUAAGUUAUAGGGAAAACCCCAAUUCCUGAGACGUGGAUGAGGGCGCAUUCUAGUCUGUGAUUCCGAAACCAGCCAUGAUUCGCUGUGAGCUUCCCACCCCUGUGCUGGAAGGCGCCAAGUUCUGAACACCUGUGGCCUCCUCGUGGCCUCCAGGUCCUCUGCGGGAAACACCCAGCGUCCUUUGUCUGACCAACUCCUACACGUCAAUCACCGGCAAUUCGGACGCCACCUCUUCCAGGAAAUUUCCCUGAAUCUGCAGAAAGUUACUCCUUCCCUGAGGAUGGAUGUCAGUUGCUGGAUUCGUGAACCUUCCCUUUGCCUUCAGUCCCACCAGUCUAUGGUCCAAACAUAAGAUCCUUUAAACUCCCGUAUGAGCCCUCCAGUGGGAGCUUCCGCAUAAGGUACGCGAGCACAUCUGACCUGUUUCCUUCCAACGCCUAACACUUACUUUGUAUAGUGUGAGCAUGCAUUCGUGUGUGCCUUGCACGUAUGGAGGUCACAAAGCAAUGAACAGGAGUCCUUUCUCCCACGAUGUGAGUGUAGGGAAUUGAACACAAGUCGUCAGGCUUAGCGGCAAGCACCUUUACCCUCUGCUGCAGACCAACACUUACAAUCUGGUAGAUCUUUUGUUUGACUGAUUCUCACUGUGCCUUGGGCCUGGAACUCGCCGUGGAGAUCAACCUGUUUUUGUCUCCCAAGUGCUGAGAUUUAAGGCCUAUGAAAAUCUUGCCCAGCCAAUAUGGUCCCCCUUUUUUUCCCGUUUUUCCUCGAUAGUGUUUCUCUGUGUAUCCUUGGCUGUCCUCUUACUCAUAGAUCCGCCUGCUUCUGCCUUCCCAAAAGGCAUGCUUCCCACGCCCAGUUCAGUAUGAUUUUUUUUUCCUCUAAGAUUUAUUUUAUGUGAGUACAACAGCUGUCUUCAGACACAGCAGAAGUGAGCAUUGGAUCCCUUUAUUAUAGAUGGUUGUGAGCCACCAUAUCGUUCCUGGGAUUUGAACUAAGGACCUCUGGAAGCGCAGUCAGUGCUCUAAAUGGCUAAGCCAUCUCUCCAGCCUUUUUGUUUUGAGACAAAGUUUCUUUUUCUUUGUGUAGCCUAGGCUGUCCUGGAACUCACUCUGUAGACCAGGCUGGCCUCGAACCCAGAAAUCUGCCUGCCUCUGCCUCCCAAGUGCUGGGAGUAAAGGCAUGUGCCACCACUGCCUGGCUCAGUGGUUCUUAACUUGUGGCUCUUAACCCAACUUUGGUGGUCAGAAGACCCUCCCACAGGGGUCAUUUAAGGCCAUCAGAAAACAGAUUAUUUACAUUAUCAUUCAUUGUAGUAGCAAAGUUACAGUUAGGAAGUAGUAACAAAAUUCUUUUAUGGUUGGGAGGGGGCAGCACAACAUGAGGAACUGUGUUAAAGGGUCGUAGCAUUAGGAAGGUUGAGAACCACUGCCCUAGCUGGGAGAAGUGCCACUCAUAACAACAGUUUAAAAAGAAAAAAUAAACAGUCCAGCUGGAUCCUGCCACAAGCCAAUUGUGUACCUGUUUAUUCCAUGCUGGAACACGGGGCGAGGGGAAGGCUUGAGAUUCGGGAGACUUACAAGGCUAGCAAUCUCAGAGCCACAGAAGAUUCCCAACUUGCUCCCCAGGGAACAAAAACAGUUAUGCAUGGGCGGAGAGGGCUCAAUGUAAGCACCAGUUCCCAGCCCCAGGGGACUGAGUGUCUCUGGCCUCUUGGGCAUCUGCACUCAUACCUGCCCCACCCCACACAUGUAACUUUAACUUGAAAUCUUUUUGAAGAAAUCAGUAACCUAGGCGGAAAAAAUGCUCGGCAGUUAAAAGCACUGACUGGUCUGCUAGAGGUCCUGAGUUCAAAUCCCAGCAACCACAUGGUGGCUCACAACCAUCUGUGAUGAGACCAGACACCCUCUUCUGGUGUGUCUGAAGAAAGCAACAUUGUACUCAUAUACAUAAAAUAAAUAAAUAAAUCAGUAAGCCAAAACUGGAGAGGCGACUCAGCAGUUAACAGUGCUUUUUCUUGUUGAGAACCAAAUUCUCUUCUCAGAGCAGAUACCUGGCCACUAACUGCCUAUAAUCCCAGUGCUACAGGAUAUAAUGCCUUCUUCUGGCACCUUCCUUACAUGUGUGCACACACAUAAAGACACACACACACAUACAUAAACAAAAAAUAAAGUUUUAAAAUAAAAGGGCUUAGGUUUGGAGAGAUGGCUCCUCUGGUGUGUCUAACUAAAGACAGGCUCAGUGUACUCAUAUCUAAAUAAAUCUUUUAAAAAGGUAAAAAUAAAAGUGCUUGAACACACGAAGUGCACACAUGUAGCACACACACAUACAUGCAGGCACAAACUUACAUGUAAAGUUUAAUAUUUUUGCUUUUGUUUUUUGAGAUGUUCUCACUGUCCUGCCCUUGCAGUCCUGGAACUAUGUAGACCAGGCUGGCUCUAGAUUCAGAGUUCCACUUGGUUUUGCCUCCUGAGUGCUGAGAAAGGACUAAAGGAGUGGCCUCCACACCCGGUACAAAUCCCAACACUCAAGAAUCAAGAGUUGCUGGAUAGCCAGGCUACAUAGAGAUGUUCUGUUUUAAAAACAACAAAAGAGGUGGGUUGUGAUAAAGAAGACCCCAACCGUGGCGUCUCACCUUCGUGCAUUCACUCCAGUGCAAAUGUACACACACACACUUUCGGGCUCUAGUUAAAGAACAAAGUUUUUAAUACAGACACAUUUUAAACAGUCUUUUUGGC
rnacentral:lncRNA from 1 species